CCUACCAAGGCUGCGAUCGGUAGCCGGUUUGAGAGGACGACCGGCCACACUGGGACUGAGACACGGCCCAGACUCCUACGGGAGGCAGCAGUGGGGAAUUUUCCGCAAUGGGCGAAAGCCUGACGGAGCAAUACCGCGUGAGGGAGGAAGGCUCUUGGGUCGUAAACCUCUUUUCUCAGGGAAGAAGCAAUGACGGUACCUGAGGAAUCAGCAUCGGCUAACUCCGUGCCAGCAGCCGCGGUAAUACGGAGGAUGCAAGCGUUAUCCGGAAUGAUUGGGCGUAAAGCGUCCGCAGGUGGCACAUCAAGUCUGCUGUCAAAGCCCCCAGCUUAACUGGGAAGAGGCGGUGGAAACUGGUGAGCUAGAGAGCAAUAGGGGUAGAGGGAAUUCCCGGUGUAGCGGUGAAAUGCGUAGAGAUCGGGAAGAACACCAGUGGCGAAAGCGCUCUACUAGGUUGCAACUGACACUGAGGGACGAAAGCUAGGGGAGCGAAUGGGAUUAGAUACCCCAGUAGUCCUAGCCGUAAACGAUGGAUACUAGGCGUUUCUCGUAUCGACCCGAGGAGUGCCGGAGCCAACGCGUUAAGUAUCCCGCCUGGGGAGUACGCACGCAAGUGUGAAACUCAAGGAAUUGACGGGGGCCCGCACAAGCGGUGGAGUAUGUGGUUUAUUUCGAUUGCAACGCGAAGAACCUUACCAGGGCUUGACAUGUCUUGGAACCGUGGGAAACUAUGGGGGUGCCGAAAGGAACCAGAACACAGGGUGGUGCAUGGCUGUCGUCAGUUCGUGGUCUUGAGAAUGUUUGGG
rnacentral:rRNA from 1 species